CCUACGGGUGGCAGCAGUGGGGAAUAUUGCACAAUGGGCGAAAGCCUGAUGCAGCAACGCCGCGUGAAGGAAGACGGGUUUCGGCUCGUAAACUUCUUUCAACCGGGACGAAAGAAAUGACGGUACCUGUAUAAGAAGCACUGGCUAACCACGUGCCAGCAGCCGAGGUAAUACGGAGGGGGCAAGCGGUAUCCGGAAUUACUGGGUGUAAAGGGUGAGUAGGCGGCAAGGUAAGCCAGAUGUGAAAGCCUGGGGCUUAACCCGAGGAUUGCAUUUGAAACUAUCAAGCUAGAGUACAGGAGAGGAAAGCGGAAUGCCUGGUGUAGCGGUGAAAUGCGUAGAUAUUAGGAAGAACACCAGUUGCGAAGGCGGCUUUCUGGACUGCAACUGACGCUGAGGCACGAAAGCGUGGGGAGCGAACAGGAUUAGAUACCCGAGUAGUC
rnacentral:rRNA from 1 species